GCGGGGCAUGCGUGCUGCGUGCGUGCGCGUUCUGGAGGCUCCGCCGCCGCUGCUCUCGAGGCCGCUACCGCCGCCGUCGCCGCGUAGAGCCGGAGCAGGAGCCACGGCCGAGAGGAGGGAGGAGGAGGAGGAGGAGGUGGAGGAGGUGCCGGACCGGGGGGGGUGAGUGAGGGGCGGGGAGCCGGAGCCGGCCCCAGAGGGAGCGAGGGGCGCGGGUCGGACGAGUCCGGGCCGAGGCGGCUCCUGUCGCCGGUCAGUCCCCUGGCUCCCCCUUCCUCCUCCGUGUUCCCUCGGUGGCCGGGGCGGCGGCCCGGGGGCCUGGCGGGCGGGAGGGGCCAGGACUCGGGGAGGCCCGGCCGCCGCCACCGGGGCCGGAGCCAACCACGCCCGCGGACCGAGCCGGUCGACUGUGGCUGGGCCUGCGGGAGAGGGACGGGAGGGGCCCGGGCCGGGUGUGGGAGAGAAAGAGGACAUUGUGUCCCCCACCCUCCAACUCCCCGAGGUGUCAUGGCACAAGCCCAUUUCCCUCGCCAUCUCCCCGGACACAGUGCCCUCGCCCCUUGCUGCCUGAGAGAGGAAAGAUCACAACAUUUCCGUUGGUUAUAAGAAGUGAAGUCUCUAAAGAUUUCAGAAAUUUGUGACAGUACUAGUCUUGAGAAAAACAAGAGGAGAAAGUAUCAAUGAAGAUACUCUCUCAGUGGGAUAGUACUAUGACUUCACGUUACAGAAACGAUUGACUUUCCAUUAUGAUGUGCUAUGAGGAACGUUGUUCUUUAUUUUAGAAAGGUAAGUCUUACCAUCAUUUCCAUAUUACUUACCACCAUCCCCACCCAUACCCAGUAUUUUGUGGUCAGUUGUCAGAUUUAAAAUAUUCACAGCUUCUGUAAAUAUUUAAAUAUAACCAACAGUAUAACUGCUUGUUAAGAAGUUUCAGUGUUCCUUAAUGUA
rnacentral:lncRNA from 1 species